rnacentral:tRNA from 1 species
GCGCAACUGACUUAAGGUGGCGCAUCAGGUUAUAGACCUGAAGGUUGGGGGUUCGAAUCCCUC